GGCUCCGUGGCGCAAUGGAUAGCGCAUUGGACUUCUAGAGGGUUUGAAGGGAUUCAAAGGUUCCGGGUUCGAGUCCCGGCGGAGUCG
rfam:Picoides pubescens contig10037, whole genome shotgun sequence.